GAAAUGCGAUACUUGGUGUGAAUUGCAGAAUCCCGUGAAUCAUCGAAUCUUUGAACGCAUAUUGCGGUCGAGGCUUCGGCCGAGACCAUGUCUGCCUCAGCGUCGGAGUAAACCCUCACGUGGAGCAGACGCCCGCGUGGAGCUGGCCCCCCCAGCGGCCUCGGCCGCUGGGCCGGCUGAAGUGCAGAGGUACGCGCACGGACCUGUAUGGCACCAGCAAGGUAGGUAGCUCGCUACUCCAGCUGAUGCUUUGGGCCCGCCGCCGCACCCGCAGGAACCCCACUCUUUAUCGACCUGAGUUCAGGCAAGGCUACCCGCUGAACUUAA
rnacentral:misc_RNA from 1 species